AAAAGGGGUGUGCUGGGAGGGUUAUGGUUUGGCAGGAGGAAUGAGAUAGGAAGGAAGCUGUGUCCAGUAGUAGAGAUGAAGUCUGAACGUUCUACUUGCUGGUGCUUGCCCAAUAUUUCUUCAUAUUGACUGGAUUGUGUCUCGCAAAUGCUGCUAAUCCAAUGAACACUGGUAAUUCUCCAUUUUUGACAUUUCCGGAGUACUUUCUCCAACUUCUGUGACAUUUUAGUAUCUGAAAUACCAUCCUGUCAAUGUUUUUAAAUCAGUGCAUGGUGUUAAUAUUGUUCAAAUUCAGUGCCAUCACUGGGCUGCCAUUAGUGGUGAAAUUGGCCCAUGAACUUAAACAAAAGCUUGUAUUAGUAAAUCCUUAAGAACUAAUUUCAAAUGUGUUGCAGUAUCCAGAAGUAGUAUGCAGCUGCCAUUGCAUGAAUACCCAGAUGACAUGAAUCUCAUAGAUAUACAUCUUUGGUAGCUAUUCUGAAGUUUAUUGAAAAUUGGGUAAACUGGGGAAAUUAUUCAGAAAAAAUAUAUAUCAUUUAGAAAUAUUUCUGUUCUAUUCCAUCUGAUUACAGGUGACAAAAAGAUCUAAAUGGAUUUUUGAGACUGAUGUUCUUAAUGCAUCCAACAAAUACAGAAAAUAUUCUUACCCUCUGCAUAAAAAGCCAAAUUCCAAGUUUCACACAAAAACAUUGUAAAAUACAUCAUUUUUGGUUAGUUCACUAUCCGUUCUUCUGUAUAGCAUAUUAGCUCCUUCUCAUGUACUCUGUGAGAUGAAAGGUACUGCUAUGAUAUCUAACCAUGGGAGUUCCAAUGAAGCAUGCUUUAUAUUAACAGUAGACAUCUCUUACUCUUUUUUGUGCUUUUCCAUUAUUUUACUGUUCAAAUAAAUUAUGCUUGAACAAAAACUCGAUACUGAAAUGUUUUCAUUUUGGUAUCUGACACAAGUAAUUUCACAGUACUCUCAACAAAUGUGGUUCUGAAAACUCUUCUGGAUAUCGUUCUAUAUACACCAAAUGACCAAACAAGUCAUUUGUCACUAAGAGAAGACUUGAUAAAUUAAUAGAUUGUGUUGAACAUGCAAUUCCUGUUCAUAUAUUGCAGUAAGUAAAAAAGCAAAGCAAAACGAAACAAAACAAUAAACAAACAAACAAAAAAAGAAACCCUCAAUUCUGGGUGAAUCUAGGUCUCCAUCCAACACAGUAUUAUUUCUCAAACAGUAGAUGUAUAAAUGAAGUGCAAGCUUAAGAACGCACCAGAAGAUGUGGGGAACAUAAAUGAUUUUCCCCUGGCAUACUCAUCAAGCAUUCUUUAAUGUUCAUUUUAAAGGAUUUCCUGAGUCUAAUAUUUAUCUGUUUAGUAACCUGCAGUUCUUUCUUCUAUCUCUUCAUCUUGUGUAAAUGAUUCCCAUCCUUCUCCGUUGACCAGCAGCUCCACAAGGCUGCUGUCUGCUGCAUAUAGAAAUAACUCCUUUUGCUUAUUUAAAGUAGGGUUUCUUUAAAGGCCCCUUAAAGAGGAUGAUAAUAGGAAAUAGCUGGUCCUUGCUGAACCACCUGAAAUUUUGUAGACUUCUACUACAUCCUCCCUGCAUUGUUUCUUUCUCGAUGGAAUAGUCCUUGCUUCCUCAGGCAUUCCUAUAGAGAAGUUACUUCAUGCUGAAAUCCUUCUUUAUUCUGUCAUAAUCUUUUCCCAUUUUACCACAUUACUUUUAUGAGUUUGGGUCUGAUCCCUGUAUAUUCAUGGAAUUGGCUAAUCAUAGUUUUAUCCUGUUUGCUCUCCCAUCUUUUCCUAAAGAUUCUGAACACUUCAUUUACUUUUGUGAUAACUACUGGCCUGAUGUUUUUAACAACAUUUUUUUUUUUUUUUUUUAUUUUAAACACAAACGUUCUCCACUGAGUUUGUAUAAGUCUGGUUUUCUAAAUAUGUAUCACUUUAUAUGCAUCCACAUAUAUCACUUUUCACCACCCCAGCAGUUACAUCUUUUCCAUGUCAUCUAUAAAUGUACUGAAAUGCGCUGAUCACUGCAGCAUUUCACAGGUAAUCUUUGUCCAUUGCAAGAACAUACAAUUUACUCCUAAAUACAUACUUAAUUCAAUAAAUGCUGCAAAUACAUUUGAUCAUUUCUGGACUAUUAAAAAGUCUAAGAAAAAGUAUGCUAAUUUCACAGAAACUUAAUUACCCAGUGGGGUUCCAUUUAUUUUUGGAAGAUUUGCAGGGAAUUCCUAAACAUAAAAACCUCAAAUACACUGAUUCAGUUAAUUUUGAUAGGGAAUAUUUUGUAAAAUCUCAGAGAAGACUUUGGCCUUUUCAUCUGCUAAGCAACCAAAAUGAUUUUUAAGAAGCUCAACUCCCACAUAGGCACUUACUUAUAUAAAGAGAAGAUUUUCAAAGGUACUUAGUUCUUAGUAGUUUGUGAUUAUAGUAUGCUGGCCAAUUUUUCAAAUAAUUGUAUCAUCAUUUAACAGGUUUACAUCUACCUAUGUGUAAAUUAGAAAUGGAAUGAUGUUAAAAACCUGUUCCCCUUUCUGGAUUCUGCAACCUCAAAAUUUUGCCCUUUUAGUAUGAGUUAGAGAUAAACAAAGUCUCUACUGUUUUGAUUUGUCUCAGAAAUAAGGAAAAGGUACUUUGAAAAUGAUAUUUAGGAGGUCCUUAUUAUUUUCAGAAACAUAUAUAUUAAGAUGUCUCAUUUUAUAGAGACAGUAGUGUCUUUGGAACAAUAUUAUAACUCUUGGGCUCUCAGUGAAAUAAUUAACAGCAUCCUGAGUGUUAAAAUGCUUGGAUUUAUUAUGCAUUACAAUCAAACUGGUAAGUUCUCAAAUCAUCCAUUCUGCAAACUCAGACAGGUAUCUCAAAAACAAAUCUAUUUUUUUCUUCUGUCUUUUACCCAACUCUUAUUACCUUAAGGGUGGUAAGGAAUGUUGAUAUUACAGGUUGUUAAAGUAAUUAUUUGGAAAGGAAAACAUUAUUUUGGGCUGUAGAUGUGUCACGACCCCAGUACAUUUUUUUUUUAUAUAUAUUUUUUUACUCCUGGUUUUGUGAACUUUGCUAGUUUCUUUGGAACCUAUUUCAGUGUUCCCUAUAUUAUUUUAAUAAAUAAAUAAGAAGACAACGCCCAUUAAAAAUUUUGCAAUCAGAAUUUGUUUGACAUUUUUGCUGAGGAGGCAGAACAAGACCUGACUUGAUCUUAUUGUUUUCUGGAUCCUGUUACAGACCCACAUUUCUAACUAUAAUCACACAAACCUUAUGUUUCCCAACAAUAUGACAAAUUGAAUCAUAUAAUCUAAUAAUAAGACUCUAAAGUAAUGGACAUAUCACAACUGAUUUUCUUUAAAUUUCUGGUUUUCUUCAUUCCUAAAAGCCUUGACAAAAGACCAUGCAGACCAGUCAUGUGCUUAUAUUCGAUAAGUAAUGAAGCAACAUGAAAUUCUAUAUGGUGUUGAAGAAUAAUUCUCUAUUAUGAAAAUUGUAGAAUCAUAGAAUGACUGAGGUUGGAAGGGACUUCAAAGAUUAUCCAGAUCCAAUCCCCCUGCCAUAGGCUGGGUUAAAAGCCACUAAAUCAGGCACAAGAUUGCCCAGAGCCCCAUCCAACCUGGCCUUGAACACCUCCAGGGAUGGGGCAUCCACAACCUCUUUAUCUUUGUGACCUCCUCUGGACCCACUCCAACAGCUUUGUGCCUUUCUUGUGCUGAGUGCCUCAGGCCUGGACACAGUACUGCAGAUGAGGUUUAACAAGGACAGAGUAGAGGGAAACAGUCUCCAAGUUUGUACACAUAUCUGCGAUUGUCCCAACCCAAGAACAACACCUUGCACUUGGCCUUGUUGAACCUAAUUUGGCUCAUAUGCACCCACUUCUCAAGAGUGUCCAGCUCCCACUGGAUAUCAUCCUUUCCUUGACUGUAACAACUGUGCCACUAACUUGGUGUCAUCCACAAACUUGCUGAGGGUAUACUCGAUCCAGCUCUAUGUCACCAAUAAAAAUGUUAAAUAGCAUCAGUUCCAAACUGGACCUCUGGGGGACACCAAUUGUGAGUGGUCCAGAAGGAGAGUGGCUGUUGCUUUUGUCAUCUCAGUCUCCUUCAGUCUCUGUUGCACAAUUUUCUACUCACAUUUUGGUCUUCUUACCUGUGUUACAAACCUCUCCAGGACUACACAGUCCUGUGGGUGGUUGUGUGGAAUGAAUUGGGUUUUCCUUGGAAGGCGGUGCAGUGUUGACUGAUUUUUAUCAAUUUGCAGAACCUCAGAAUAACUCACCACUUUUCUAAGGAGUAUUUUGAGGAGCUGACGUUGUCUCCUAAUGGGUCUUACCAUGUAGUUUGUGUCCUAAAAGGUGGCACCACAGAGAUAAGAGCUGAGCUGGUUUCUGUCCUUCAGGUAAUAGAUAAGGAUGGUCAUGAUUUCCUUCAGAAUGUUUUUUCAGUCCCUUGGGUUGUCAUGACACUGCUCACAUCCAUGUGAGCAUAUAGCCACAACCAUCCUCCUGGACAUAUAGCCACAGUCCUCUGGCUGCAACCUUCCAACCAGUUCUUUAUUCACCAAAUAGUCCAGCCUUCAAACCCAUAUCUCUUCAAUUCAGUGAUAAGGAUGCAGAACCAUUCAAAGGUCUUGUACAAGUCCAGGCAAACAAUAUAAAUUGCCCUUCCUUUGUCCACCGAUGCUAUCACUGCAUUGUAGUAAGUCACCUUAUUAGUAAUUCACAGUCAGCCCUUGAUGAAGCUGUGCUGGCUGUCUAGGCUCACCUCCUCAUAUUCUUCAUAUUUUUUCCUUUUUCUCUUCUGGAUAAUAUUUAUCUAUUUUGAAUUCAACAUCUAUGUCCUACUGGAAUGCCAUGCAUGAUUCUUUCUAGAAAGCUACAAAGAAAAUAAGGAUCUUUGUCUGCUUAUAGUCCAUCUUUUUUUUCCUAUAUUUCUGCAGAUAUUGAUUUCUAGGUUGAGUAUCACAUUCAGGGCCUGGGGUAACAGAGAUUAGAAUCAGAGAUCGUUCCAGUGAAAACAGUGGAUUUGUGUCCAUCUAGAGCAAGUCUAUCUGGAAGAAAAUCAAAUACUUGGCCCAAUUUUUAGUUAUGCAAAACAAAUUCAGCCUGCAUAGCUAUAGUGAACAAAAGAUUAUAAAUAUUUGAUACUAAUAUGACAAACAACAGGAAUUCUAUAGAUUCUAUACUAUGUAAAUUGCCAGAAUCCUUUUAAAGGUAAAUGUGUAUAAAGAAAUUGGUGUAUUUUCAGAAAGCAGAUGAUUUCAAAAUUUUUCAUUCAAGAUACAUGAGGUUUACUUUAUCGUGUACUUCAGAGAGUUGCUCAUGUUAGUAUCCACAGCAAAGAUCUGCUCUAAACAGUAAAAUCUUGCAUACAAAAGUAGAGUUGGGGAUAACGGAGCAAGAGAGGAGAAGGUUGAGCCCUUAUAGCUGGUGUCUGUGCUAGGCACUUCUGAGAUUUCUUUUGAAUCCAUCACACCAUUGCUGCUCCAGCACUCAUAUUUCAUCUGUUUUGAAUCCACAGUUGUCAGUGCAGCCUUCAAUAUGUUCUGUUAAAUUCUCACCGAAUCUCCAUGGGUUCCUCCGUCUCUUCACACUAAGGGAGACGAGAGAGAGAAAGCAGCAAAGUGGUUAGAAAUCUUCUGCCAAACACAGAUGGUAUCCUGAUUGCUCUUUCAGCCUACCUGAGUCUGUCUGUGGAGCUGUGGAUGUUGUGGACUUGUGUGUGAAGAAUUUCCAAUGCGCACAGAGAAUUCACCCAAAGGAAAAUUUCCAUCUGAUAUUUAAUAACCAAUUCAUCAAACAGAUUAGAGAAACAAAUAUGGAUGUUUAGACAUUUUACGUGUAUAUGGAUUUAUCCGCAUAAAAGUAUAUCUAUAUUUUUAUAAGAAAAAAAUAGAAAGGAAGAACAGGAAGACUCCGGAAUUACACAGCUGUCUGCUUUUAAAAAACAAUGACAGAAGUACUUGCUUGUACAGAGUAGGCAGUCUAUGAGCAUCCAAGAAGCUGUGGGGGAAAAAAAAAUAAUCCAAAAACAUAUAGCAACAAGAAAAGGCUUUUCUUUAUGGCAUCUGAGCAUGUUCAUUUAUUCCUCUCAAGAUACAGUCACAGUAUGGUAUAUGAUUUCAUUACGGCAACUUAACAAGUUAACGCCUGUCAGCUGACUUGCUGUAACCAACUGUGUAUGCUCUCUUAUUCUGCCCCAUUUGCAAGAUAAAAUGCAUUAGCUUAAAUUCACAUGCCAUGGGUUACCCUUACAAGCCAGAUUUCUAAAUAGUUUUUGGCAUACCUGGCACAGUUUGCUGGUAUCCCGUUCUCAGCACAAGACUUAUUCAGUGCAGCAGAGGAAAAGGAAAUCUUCCUACUUGCAGAGAAAUAAAUCAACCUACCAACUGUAAACUCAGCACACAAAGGAAAAGUCCUUGUUCAACUAGUAUAGGUGAUCGAUUUGUAAAGUGAACCAUGAGAUUUAAUUACCCUCAUUAUAUUAGUUCAGAUAACUUCAGAUGUUGCGACUUGUCGUGAAACAUAUAGUCUUUUAAAAAAAAAUCCAGUUAUAGUAUUUGACUUAGUGACCUAUUAUAGCAUUAAAUUGCACAGUAUGCCAAUGCAUUGUGAAAAUUUAAGUCCUUUUUUGGUGCUGUGUAUAUUACCUUUAGUUCAAAGGAAGGAGUUUUGGAUUUACUUUUAUUUUGAGGCAGGUGUUGAAGGAAAGAGAAGGGGUAGUUUUUACUAAGACUUUUCUUUCAUUUUAAAUUUCUAGUUUUACUCACUGUACUUAAUGGCUUUUCAAGCAAAAUCCCGAAGGGGCUGUUGUGUGGUUUGUGGUCUUGCUGGUCAUUUCUAAACACAGAUCCUUGAUGAAGAUGUUCUCGGAGCUCUCUGUAUGACAUGACUGUAAAGUCCAUAUAACUGGUGGUAGGAGGCACAUCUCAUGGUAUGCAUAUAAAAGUGCUUUGACACUACAGAUCUUGCCAGAAUAAGGGAGAAUGAACUCCAUUGUUUUCUGUCCUUGGUCAUCGCUGGAAUUUUUAUGCAUGUAACUAGCAGAUUAAUUAAUUCAGUUAGUCUUCAGACAUUUGCUGGAGAAGUAUCACAGAUGCAGAAAAGUGGGUAAAAUCUUUAGAUCAUCUUGUACUACAACUUUUCUUGUUCCUUCUCUCUGUUCCUACCCUCUUUCAUUGCUGUGCAUUAAUGGCAGGUAACACCAUUUUUCCACAUACUCGCAUACCUUUCAACUUCUC
rnacentral:lncRNA from 1 species